AGAGUUUGAUCCUGGCUCAGGACGAACGCUGGCGGCGUGCCUAAUACAUGCAAGUCGAGCGGAUCAAUGGGGAGCUUGCUCCCCUGAGAUCAGCGGCGGACGGGUGAGUAACACGUGGGCAACCUGCCUGUAAGACUGGGAUAACUCCGGGAAACCGGGGCUAAUACCGGAUAAUACUGACCACCACAUGGUGGAAAGUUGAAAGAUGGCUUCGGCUAUCACUUACAGAUGGGCCCGCGGCGCAUUAGCUAGUUGGUGAGGUAAGGGCUCACCAAGGCGACGAUGCGUAGCCGACCUGAGAGGGUGAUCGGCCACACUGGGACUGAGACACGGCCCAGACUCCUACGGGAGGCAGCAGUAGGGAAUCUUCGGCAAUGGGCGAAAGCCUGACCGAGCAACGCCGCGUGAGCGAUGAAGGCCUUCGGGUCGUAAAGCUCUGUUGUUAGGGAAGAACAAGUACCGUUCGAAUAGGGCGGUACCUUGACGGUACCUAACCAGAAAGCCACGGCUAACUACGUGCCAGCAGCCGCGGUAAUACGUAGGUGGCAAGCGUUGUCCGGAAUUAUUGGGCGUAAAGCGCGCGCAGGCGGUCUCUUAAGUCUGAUGUGAAAGCCCACGGCUCAACCGUGGAGGGCCAUUGGAAACUGGGGGACUUGAGUACUGGAGAGGAAAAGUGGAAUUCCAUGGUGUAGCGGUGAAAUGCGUAGAAAUGUGGAGGAACACCAGUGGCGAAGGCGGCUCUCUGGCCAGUAACUGACGCUGAGGCGCGAAAGCGUGGGGAGCAAACAGGAUUAGAUACCCUGGUAGUCCACGCCGUAAACGAUGAGUGCUAGGGGGUUGGGGGGGUUCCACCCUCAGUGCUGACGUUAACACAUUAAGCACUCCGCCUGGGGAGUACGGCCGCAAGGCUGAAACUCAAAGGAAUUGACGGGGGCCCGCACAAGCAGUGGAGCAUGUGGGUUUAAUUCGAAGCAACCCCGAAGAACCUUACCAGGUCUUGACAUCCUUCGCUACUUCUAGAAGUAAAAAGGUUCCCCUUCCGGGGGGCGAAAAGACAAGGGGGGGGCAGGGUUGUCCCCACGCCCCGGCCCCGAAAAAAU
rnacentral:rRNA from 1 species